UACAGAGGUCUCAAGCGUUGUUCGGAUUCAUUGGGCGUAAAGGGUGCGUAGGUGGCGCCGUAAGUCAGGUGUGAAAAUUUCGGAGCUUAACUCCGAAACUGCAUUUGAUACUGCGGUGCUUGAGGACUGGAGAGGAGACUGGAAUUUACGGUGUAGCAGUGAAAUGCGUAGAGAUCGUAAGGAAGACCAGUGGCGAAGGCGGGUCUCUGGACAGUUCCUGGACCACUGAGGCACGGAAGGCCAGGGGGAGCAAACGGG
rnacentral:rRNA from 1 species